UAAUUAAUAUUAAUUAUUACUCUUAUAUUAGAAAAGGCAUAUUCUACAUGCCUGCUUUAUAGGUCUGAGGAUAUUUUAGUCUUUUUAGUACUCCAUUUUGGCUACGUGUUCUGUUGUUGUGCUUUCAGUGUACUCAUCACUGCGGACUACGAUCUAUGCACACCAAAAGUUCUCUUUUCUCCGGCAUUCUGUUGAGAUGGUUCUUUGUCGAAAUUAACUUUUUGGGUUCCUUAAUUCCACACGGUUAUAAUGGUACUCGUGCAUAUGCUCAAUCAAAAUUAGCCAACAUUUUACAUGCCAAGGAAUUGUCAAGACAACUAAAGAAAGCUUGAGCUUGCCUCACAGAAGAAGAUAGGAACUAAAAUUUUGGUGGAAAAAUAAAUUGCAAACGAUUAAUUCAAACCGAAUGUUAUAGCCGUAGUUUUAUUUUAUUUGAAAUUCGUAGUAACAUCUCAUUUUUUUGCCAUUUGAUUAGGCAUAUAUAAUUAGCCAUUUUUGGUAUACAAUUAUUCAUUCGGUAUACAAAAUGUAUAAAAUGCGGUUGUAUUAGUAUAAAGCGAGAGAAACGUGUAUAUACAAGUACAAAUACAUAUAUAUUCAUUCUAUACACUUAUAAUUAUAUAAAAACAGAUCUUAUUAUACAAGUUACAAUGUAUAGAUAAUUUUAUACAAAUUUGAACAAUUUGUUUAAAAUUGGAUGUAUCUGGUGAAUUAUACAAAUCAAAAGUUUCAUACACUACAUCAAAGAUGAGCUUUAGCGGCAAUUAAUUAGCAAUUGCCACUAAAUAUGUAUUUUUAGCGGCAAUUAGCUCUCUUUGUAUAUGUCCCUAAAGACCUUAGCGACAUUGAUCUAAUGACACUUAACUAAUGCCGGUAAAGACUUAAGCAUUCUUUAUUGAUGUGUUUUUUUAUCGCUGCUAAAAGUUAUUUUUGUUAUAGUGAUAGCAACAUAAAAUUUAUUAUGAAACGCAAUUAUGCAAACAAUAAUUAUUACAUACAAAUAUGAAUUUUAUGUUUGCUAUAAGUAAAAGUUACUCUAUUUUGAUUUGGGCCGAUGUACUCUAAUAAACGUUAUGGUCCAUCUGAAAGAGAGAAUACAUUGGCCCAAUUUUGUCUAAUUAUUGAGCUCUGGCCUCUAGCCCAAGUUGUCUCAGACCAUAAAACGUAUUCUGAUCCUUUAUCAUUACAAAUUGCAUAUAUAUUAGGUUUUGUAAAGUUAUCUUAUCUUAUUAAUAAGUAGUAUAUAGAGGAUAUAUCAAUGUAUUAUUCAAUCGAAUAUUAUAUGUUAUAUGUUGAUAAUCGUAUUUGUCGAAAUGAAAUAUGAUAUAAUAUAAUUGGACUCGUGGUUACACGUGCCUAUCUCAUCUAGUAUUAUAAUUAGGGGGAGCUUUCACAUAUAACCACUAAAAAAUAGUCUAAUUACUCUCUAUAGCUAUAGCUUGAUAAUUACAAUUCGUAGCUACAUGUUAUAGGGAAGAGAGAGACGAGUUAGACAGGGAGAGAGAGGGCAAAGAGUGUGAGAGAGGUGAAUUGUAUAUGUAUAUUGGUCAGAUAAUUGUAUAUUAUACAUAUGUAUUUGUAUAUAUGGUAAGAGAGUUUGGGAGAGAGAGGA